CUGCACUACAUUUCUGCUUCUGUACUACACUCUCUAAUACUGUGACCUUCGUUGUAGCACCUGAGAUGGAAUGUAGGGUCCGGGGACCCCGCGAAGCCUGGGAACUUCCUGAGAGAAGUGAGCUUGUGACCCAGAGUGCGGGAGAAAGAAGUCCCGGGGUCCGCCCAACCUUAAUCCCCAGUGUCGGGCUCCGAUCCCAUGUCCAGCCUCACCUGAGAAUAUCCCAGGUCAGUGGCACCGCGGGGAAAGCGUGUUUUUAGCGCAGUUGGCGAGCGUGCCAGAAAGCGCAGGCGGUAGGUCUGUGGUGGAGCACGAGUUCUGGAACCAGAAAGACCAGAGUAAAUUCCAGCUCUGGGAUUUCACCUGUAAGCAGAGGCGACAAAGGGAACCUAGCUUCACAGCAGAAGCAGAAAAGCCGGUCUGCACAGCCAGAAGCAGUUCUUGAUUCUCCUGCCCAGAAAGAGCCAAAUUUGAUGAAGACACCAGCACAUUCAGAAGCCACCACACUGUGUGACAGUGGGCAGUUUGGGCCAGCGUGAAGAAGAGUGAAGUGAGAUGCUGUGCUGCUCUCAUAUGUAUCUACCACCACAUGUUAUCAUCCAUUUCUGAUUCAUUUAAAACUUUAAAGAAGUUGGACCUGAGAGUGUCAGUAAAUUGUCCAGGGCCAUCUGUUUUUGACAGAAUCUAAGACAGUGCCAUGCACUCUGCCACAGUCUAUGCUGUUGCAUGUUUCUGUAAUUCACUUAUUUUUACUGAUAGCAGGGUUAUUCAAGGAUGUGACUAUGGAGUUCACCCAGGAGGAGCAGAAACACCUGGGCUCUGCUCAGA